UACAGAGGUCUCGAGCGUUAGGCGGAAUCACUGGGCUUAAAGCGUGUGUAGGUGGAUCGUUAAGUACCUUGUGAAAUCCCCGGGCUUAACCUGGGAACUGCAUUUGUGACUGGCGGGCUAGAGUAUGGCAGAGGGGGGUAGAAUUCCACGUGUAGCAGUGAAAUGCGUAGAGAUGUGGAGGAAUACCGAUGGCGAAGGCAGCCCCCUGGGCCAAUACUGACGCUCAUGCACGAAAGCGUGGGGAGCAAACAGG
rnacentral:rRNA from 1 species